rnacentral:tRNA from 1 species
GUCCAUGUAGCUUACGACAAAGCAUGACACUGAAGAUGUCAAGAUGGCUGCCACAAACACCCGUGGACA